rnacentral:rRNA from 1 species
GAUGAACGCUGGCGGCGUGCCUAAUACAUGCAAGUCGAGCGAACGGACGAGAAGCUUGCUUCUCUGAUGUUAGCGGCGGACGGGUGAGUAACACGUGGAUAACCUACCUAUAAGACUGGGAUAACUUCGGGAAACCGGAGCUAAUACCGGAUAAUAUUUUGAACCGCAUGGUUCAAAAGUGAAAGACGGUCUUGCUGUCACUUAUAGAUGGAUCCGCGCUGCAUUAGCUAGUUGGUAAGGUAACGGCUUACCAAGGCAACGAUGCAUAGCCGACCUGAGAGGGUGAUCGGCCACACUGGAACUGAGACACGGUCCAGACUCCUACGGGAGGCAGCAGUAGGGAAUCUUCCGCAAUGGGCGAAAGCCUGACGGAGCAACGCCGCGUGAGUGAUGAAGGUCUUCGGAUCGUAAAACUCUGUUAUUAGGGAAGAACAUAUGUGUAAGUAACUGUGCACAUCUUGACGGUACCUAAUCAGAAAGCCACGGCUAACUACGUGCCAGCAGCCGCGGUAAUACGUANGUGGCAAGCGUUAUCCGGAAUUUAUGGGCGUNAAGCGCGCGUAGGCGGUUUUUUAGUCUGAUGUGAAAGCCCACGGCUCAACCCGUGGAGGGUCAUUGGAAACUGGAAAACUUGAGUGCAGAAGAGGAAAGUGGAAUUCCAUGUGUAGCGGUGAAAUGCGCAGAGAUAUGGAGGAACACCAGUGGCGAAGGCGACUUUCUGGUCUGUAACUGACGCUGAUGUGCGAAAGCGUGGGGAUCAAACAGGAUUAGAUACCCUGGUAGUCCACGCCGUAAACGAUGAGUGCUAAGUGUUAGGGGGUUUCCGCCCCUUAGUGCUGCAGCUAACGCAUUAAGCACUCCGCCUGGGGAGUACGACCGCAAGGUUGAAACUCAAAGGAAUUGACGGGGACCCGCACAAGCGGUGGAGCAUGUGGUUUAAUUCGAAGCAACGCGAAGAACCUUACCAAAUCUUGACAUCCUUUGACAACUCUAGAGAUAGAGCUUUCCCCUUCGGGGGACAAAGUGACAGGUGGUGCAUGGUUGUCGUCAGCUCGUGUCGUGAGAUGUUGGGUUAAGUCCCGCAACGAGCGCAACCCUUAAGCUUAGUUGCCAUCAUUAAGUUGGGCACUCUAAGUUGACUGCCGGUGACAAACCGGAGGAAGGUGGGGAUGACGUCAAAUCAUCAUGCCCCUUAUGAUUUGGGCUACACACGUGCUACAAUGGACAAUACAAAGGGCAGCGAAACCGUGAGGUCAAGCAAAUCCCAUAAAGUUGUUCUCAGUUCGGAUUGUAGUCUGCAACUCGACUACAUGAAGCUGGAAUCGCUAGUAAUCGUAGAUCAGCAUGCUACGGUGAAUACGUUCCCGGGUCU